UACGGAGGGUGCGAGCGUUGUCCGGAAUCAUUGGGCGUAAAGGGCGCGUAGGUGGCCCGGUCAGUUCGUGGUGAAAGCGCGGGGCUCAACCCUGCGUCGGCCAUGAAUACUGCCGCGGCUGGAGCACUGUAGAGGCAGGCGGAAUUCCGGGUGUAGCGGUGGAAUGCGUAGAGAUCCGAAGAACACCUGUGGCGAAGGCGGCCCCUGG
rnacentral:rRNA from 1 species